UGACGCGUUUAAAUUAUAUUACUGCUACUAUGGAUGCACGAUCUAGUCUAGAUCUAAUCAGCUCAGAGCAAAAGAAAAUAUCUAAUCAGCUCCGUGGAGGUGCAUGCACGUCCCUAUAUCACAGCCCCGUUCCUCCCGUCGGUGAACUCAUUCCAGCAACCACAUCCCUUAUCCCUUAUCCCGCCGCGGGCUCCAGCAUCAUCUGAAGCUCGCCGUCGCUGCGCAUCUGCAGGGUGACCUAGAACAUAUGGAGGGGGAUAAGUUCCAGGAAGAGAUGAAAUGCCUCAUGGAGGUGAAGCACAAAAACGUCAUACGGUUUCUAGGAUAUUGUGCAGAUGCACAAGGGAGAGUGGUAGACUUUGAGGGAAGCUUUGUGAUGGCAGAUGUACAAAGACAGUUCCUCUGUUUUAAGUAUCGUCACAAAGAUACACACAGUGGAGUUGAAUGGAGAGGGCACCAUCAAAUAAUCAAAGGAAAUCACAAGGGCUUAGGGUACCUUCACCGUAAUCAUAUUGUUCACUUGGACCUAAAACCUGAUAAUAUAUUGUUGGAUGAUAAUAUGGUACCGAAAAUAGCUGACUUUGGUCUCUCAAAGUACUUUCGUGCCGGAUUAUCAUUUCAAAAUUUGGAUGAACAUCGGGUUAUUUGGCUCCAGAAUUCUACGGUGAAAAAAGCACAUUCAAGUCAGACAUAUAUAGUUUGGGUGUUAUAAUCAUAGAGAUAUUAAUGUCAUAUGAGAUAUUACCAAAGACCGCUUUGCUUUGAGUAUAUACCUAAAGGGAGUCUUUAUGAUUAUAUCAUUGGUCAUAUUCAAGUCAGACAUAUACAGUUUGGGCGUUAUAAUCAUAGAGAUACUAAUACCUCAUAUGAGAUAUACCAAAGACUGCUUUGCUUUGAGUAUAUACCUAAAGGGAGUCUUUAUGAUUAUAUCAUUGGUCAUAUUCAAGUCAGACAUAUACAGUUUGGGCGUUAUAAUCAUAGAGAUACUAAUAUCUCAUAUGAGAUAUACCAAAGAUUGCUCUGCUUUGAGUAUAUACCUAAAGGGAGUCUAUAUGAUUAUAUCACCGAUCACAUUCAAGUCAGACAUAUACAGUCUGGGUGUUAUAAUUAUAGAGAUACUAAUAUGACAUAUGGGAUCUACCAAAGAUUGCUCUGCUUUGAGUAUGUAUCUAAAGGGAGUCUAUAUGAUUAUACCACUUAUCACAUUCAAGUCAGACAUAUACAGUUUGGGUGUUAUAAACAUAGAGAUACUAAUAUGACAUAUGUGAUAUAUCAAGAUUGCUCUGCUUUGAGUAUGUAUCUAAAGGGAGUCUUCAUGAUUAUAUCGCUGAUGCAUCUUGUGGACUUGAAUGGAGAAAGCAGUAUCAAAUUAUUAAAGGAAUUUGUGAGGGCUUAUAUUACCUUGACCAAAAAAGUAUCAUUCACCUAGAUCUGAAAGCGGUCAAUAUAUCGAUGGACAACAAUUUUUUUUAAAUUACAGACUUUGGUCUCUUAAUACGUUAUGAUGAAAAUCAAAGUCAGAUCAAUGUAAGCCAGUUAAGUCUCUCAAAGCUCAUCAACGGGUGGAUUUGCAGUGGUUUAUAAGGGAAUUCUUCAAAAUGGGGCAAUCGCUGUGAAGAAGUUUUCCUCAUGUCUUAUAUUCAUGAUAGCGAAUUCCAGUGAGAGGUUAAAUGUUUGAUGAAGGCGAAGCACAAAAAGUAUACUUUCUGGGUUAUUUUGGUUAUGCACAUGGGGAAAUGGCUUCCUAUGAGGGAACAAUUUCCAUGACAGAUGUACAACAAAGGUUGCUCUGCUUUGAGUGUCUAUCGGAAGGACGUUUUCAUGACUACGAUGCUUCUGGUGGAUAUGAAUAGAGAGAGCGCUAUAGUAUAGUCAAAGGAAUUUGUGAGGCUUUAAAUUAUCUCCGCUAGAAUCAUAUUGUUCACUUAGACCUAAAACCGGCAGAUAUACUUAUGGAAUAUAAUAUGGUUCCAAAAAUAAUUGGCUUCGGUAUCUCAAGAUGUUUUGAUGAAAAACAAUGCCGUGUUAUUACUUCAAAAGUGACGGGAUCAAUGGGAUAUGAUUUGCUAGAAGUUUUUCUCAGUGGAAUAAUCACAUUCAGAUCAGACAUAUACAAUCUUAGUCUAUAUAUCAAUAAUCAUGGAGAUAUUGAUGGGGACGAAGAGGUAUUUUGAAGUUGAUUACGUAUGAAUUUUUAUCACCCUUCAAAGAUAAAAGAUACUCAAAAUUUGGAGGAAUAGAUUGGACUGGACAGAUCACUGGAAGGCAGACAACUGGAACAAGUACGAAUAUGCUCCGAGUGAUGGAGUGCAUUGACACCGAGUCAGCAAGGAAACCAAGUCAUUAGCAUAUGAGCAAGAGAAGAGAAAGAAAAAGAGAACCCAAGCACAACAAGAAUCGUGUGGGCUUCACGGUACUUGGUAACGAUUGAGAAGCGACGAGCAAAGAACGCGGACACUACCGCUACAGUAAACAGAAACUGUGGGUACAGCGCGACACUAUUUUAGAGAACAGUCUGUUCGUUUGUUUCAUUCAUUUUCAUCUCUGCAAAACCCGUCACAUGGUUCAAAGCACAUACUGGAAGCAGGGACAAAACAGGGAAGCUCUCAGUGUGUUCUAGUUUCUCAUGCCCUUGUUUACUUAUUCUAAUAUGUUGAAAUUCAGCCUUUGCGCUUGCUCUCAUGUUUCAUUGCACUGACCAGGCUCUCUUUGGACUGUUAACAUUUUGUAAAAAUGAUACUAGUAUAUACCAGUGAUCUUUCUAAGAUA